rnacentral:rRNA from 1 species
UGGGGAAUAUUGGACAAUGGGCGCAAGCCUGAUCCAGCAAUGCCGCGUGUGUGAAGAAGGCCUGCGGGUUGUAAAGCACUUUCAGUAGAGAAGAAAAGCUUAACGUUAAUACCGUUGAGUCUUGACGUAACCUACAGAAGAAGCACCGGCUAACUCCGUGCCAGCAGCCGCGGUAAUACGGAGGGUGCGAGCGUUAAUCGGAAUUACUGGGCGUAAAGCGCGCGUAGGCGGCUUUGUAAGUCGGAUGUGAAAGCCCCGGGCUUAACCUGGGAAUUGCAUUCGAUACUGCAGAGCUAGAGUAUGGUAGAGGGAAGUGGAAUUUCCGGUGUAGCGGUGAAAUGCGUAGAUAUCGGAAGGAACACCAGUGGCGAAGGCGACUUCCUGGGCCAAUACUGACGCUGAGGUGCGAAAGCGUGGGGAGCAAACA